CCCCUGAAAAAUCAAAUGACCUCUGCUGCCAGCAAGGACUGGGGUCCCUGGAGAAGCAUCUAGGGCCCAGAUCAGGAGAACUUGUGCAUCACAGCACAAGCUUAGGUCUCACCCUCUAGGGCAGCCAGACCUUCACAAGGAGAAAUGGAGUCAAGACUAAAGGGGGUUUUAAAGUUUCUCACAAUGAGAACUAAAACCCAAUUUACCAAAUUGCCUCGGCAACUUCAUCUUUCAUCUUGUUCAGAUAGACACCUGGUUCCCACGUGCAUCCUUUAUUCAAAAACUCAAAGCAAAUAAUCACAAGCAAACUUGUUCUGCUCACUGGACCCGGGAGGGACAUCUCACCAGCUACCGACUUUCCAUCCUCCAAUCCCAUCUCCCUGGAGCAGAGGUCCCUCAGUGUAAGGCUUCAAGAAACAUGCUGCUAAGGUCUCAUCAUUCUUUAAAUUCACUUGUCUAUCUGAAUUGCUAAAUAAGGCAAUUAAUCACCAUCUAACAUUGGAAUUAUUCAAAAUCAUUUGCCUCUUGGCAGCUUUCUCCCACUUGAGCCUUACAUUAUUAGUUAACUUUUCCAUGCCUUGUCCUCCCCACUGGAUUGUCAGCCUCUUGAAGUAAGGAAGUGAAUGUCCCUUUCCUUUAAUGUUCCACAGAAUGGGUCCUUAGAAUGACAUUUUCUGAAUACCCUCUGGAUGAGGGGGAGGGAACAGCACGCAGGAACAAACACCAGGCCAAUCCGCUACUCAGUCCGGAUCCCCAAAAGGGGCAGUGCCUCCCCUGGGCUACUGGCCACCAGGACCACGACGGUGUCAAAAACCCAAGCACGCAACAGCCAGAAUGGCUUGACCUAGCUUCUUCGGACAGUAGCCCACAGACAGUUACUGGCAGACAACUUUGUGUUCCCCCAAACUUCCCGCUGGCGGACUCUGUGCGGCCAGAACUUCUUGCAGGGUAGCACCUGGAAGAGCAAGGCUUAAAAAACGAACAAAACGAGCCGCGCAUCCGUUGUUUCGAAGCGACCGGUGUACUCGUCUAAAAUAAAAAAGAUUUCUGUCUGCAAAGCCCGUUUGCUCGCCCGGUAAUCCACCCCCGCCCCCAGC
ensembl:lncRNA